GGAAAGUUCUCGAGCCAUUCCCACAACUUUCCCUCCUCUCAGCUUUCCCUCUCGUCUCUUUCUCUCUCGAUCACAAAUCACCAUCACCGAGCCAUUCUUCACCGCCUCUUCCCUGAUUAUCUCUGCAAUGACAAGCUUCAGUCCAACCUGCAUGCCUCUCCAUUAUCGCCAAGAUGCCCAACGAAACAAGUUCGUCUAAAUGACAAACCCCUUUCGGUGGUCGAACACAAAUUAAGGUUCUCCCAUCCCUAGGGUUUACCUCUCCUAUUCCAAAUCACCCUCUUCCACCCCUAAAUCCAAACCGUUAAAGACAAAAGGAAUAGAAUCAUUUGUUGAUCUUCGGAGAGAGAGAGCCACACCUCGACGCGAUGACCGGGAAGGCGAAACCCAAGAAACACACGACUAAGGAGAUCGCGGCGAAGAUCGAUGCAGCCACUACCAACAGCGACGACGGUAAGGCGGGCUUGGCGGACCGGUCUGGUGUGGAGAAAGGCGGGCACUUGAAAUACGAGUGCCCGCUCUGUAAAGUCACGGUGCCUGACGUGAAAUUGAUGCAGAUUCAUCACGAGGCGCGUCACCCUAAGAUCCCCUCUGAGGAGGACAAGGUCGUCAACCUUCACGCCAUAAUCGCCAGCGAAUCGUCGAAGCCGCGUCCAAGCAUUCGCGGAAGCCACAAGAAAUGCUUAGAUUUUGAAAACGAGAUACUCUUUGCAUUUUUAACUUAGUCGUAUUUUUGGGAAGACUUAAGCUCUAACCAUGUCAUCUUCAAAUGACCACUAACCAGAAUGUUUUGGAUGUGGGGACUAGAAGUGGCAUUCUUGCUAUAUGGUCAGCUCAAGCAGGCGUGAGGAAGGUGUGUGCAGUGGAAGCGACGAAGAUGUCAGAACAUGCCUGUGCACUAGUCAAAGCGAAUAAUCUCCAGAAUGUAGUUGAGGUCAUCGAGGGAUCAAUGGAGGAUGUUACCUUGCUUGAGAAAGGAUUUGUGGUGGAAGAAAACAUGCUCGUGACCACUGGCUCAAACCGACAAGAGUGAUGUGUGGAGGCUAUAGUAAAAAGGAACCUGGUGAAGUACUGACACUUCAGAAGCGUGCUAAAUGAGGCAAGGUAUAAUGUUUGGAUCUUAACUUUUAAAAUAUAAGAGUUGUUUUCAGUGGAUUUGAUUCUCCAUUCAGUAAGAUGUGUUGGCCAGGCCCACUGAAUAUGUCUGAAAUUAUUUUUUUCUUUUUUAUCUCUAACAGUAAUAGAUGCAAGAAAAUAAUAUGUGAAAAUUCCAUAAUGUCAGCAUGUACCUUAAACCUUUGUUUUGUAGAAUUCAGAACGUUCUUUCUUUCUGAGGCCAUCUAACUAUUUGGACCAUUUUUUAUUCUUUGUCAAUUGUUUGACUACUGUCCCAAGAAUAAUUUGGAUGGUAAGAUUGUUAAGAGAGGGGAUUAUGCGAUAGCAGCAACGAGGGCAGUUUAUUAUGUUACCCCUGGCAAUCACAGUAGUGCCUCAAAGUGAAACAAGGUUAGUAUGAUUGUAUAUCUGGUAUAAUUGGACAUGGUAUUUCUUAUUGUAUUUAUUUUUGGUCUAAUAGAAGGAUACACGAAUGGGGUUCUGGUGUUAAUAAACUCUUGCAAUUUUUAUUUUAAUGAAUAUUAAAAUGGCAAUUUGCUCCUCCGAUUAAUACUAAUUUGAUUCUGAUGUUAAUAAUUUUAACUACUUUAUAAAUUUUUGCUAUUUUUGUUAUUAUAUCACGCAUUACUAUAUUAUAAAAUUGUGACUUAUAAAUACUUAAUUUGAAAAUUUAUUUUCUCUUAUGAUGUGACAAGAUAUAAUUCUUUACUAGCAAACAAGUUUAGUAAAAUUUUGCUGGAAAAUACUACUUGUAAAUAUUCAAUUGUCUCUAUUAUAAUUGAAAUGACUUAGACAUGAUCUUCGUUAUUCUCUUCAAUGAUUGUCCUGGUGGCAACCAACCUUAUAUAUCCUCGCCAAUGAUACUCUCUUUUUGCUGUAGGCCAGUGUUUAUCUUAAAACAAGUAAUUCAUGUUUAACUUUUUUUUCAGGGGCCAAGCUGAGAAAUAAUUUAAAGUAGAAGUAGAAGCUAUUGGUCGAGUGCGACAUAAAAAUCUUGUACAAUGAGUCAUUCAAACCUUGAUAAUUAAAAUGUCUUUUUCUUGAGCUACAUAUGUAAUAAUUUUUCACUUUCUAGCAUUAUUAGUAAGAAGAAAUAAUUGUUUGAUAACUUAUUACUCUUUAUAUUGAUAAUCAGUGGAAUAUAUAGCUUUGUUUUUUUUUCACUUACAUUGUCUAGAACAUGAGUUUUUGUUUAAUGUUAGGUGCUUGCAUUAAAGUAUUUGCAUUCCCUGCAUGGGUUGAAAUAGACACGUGGAAAGCUUGGUCUUGGUGCAAAGAUGGUAUUGAUUGAGGAGAAAUAGGUCCAGGGACUAAAUAGGAAGUUGAAGUACGGGCUUGCUUUGUACAUGCGGUGGAGAAAAUGCAAGAGCUAAUAAGUAAAAGUCAGGAAGACAGGUUAUUAAGGAAACAAUUGAUUCCAAUAUUACAAUAGAAUACAAGUCAAACACAGUUGAUGAUUUACAUAUGAGGAAGCCAGAUAUUAGCAAAGCGAAGGAACUGCUGAUUUGGGAACACAAAAUCUCACUUAAUGAUGAAAUUGGAUUCUGAAUAAAGAUGAAGGUAAAGGGAUGAAAUUUUCCUUUAGGAAGGAGAUUUAUUCUAAUCUUCCAUUUCAGGCUACGAAAGUUAAUUAGCUUUUAGAAAUGUUACCUUUAGAAGUUUAAUUAUAUAUUGAUUUACAAUAUGAAAAUCAAAGUUAAUUAGCUUUUAAAAAUGUUACCUUUAGCAGUUUAAUUGUAUAUUGAUUUACAAUAUGAAAAUCAACUAAGAUACACGUGAUUGUUAAUUUAUUUAGAUGUUCAUACUUAACUUCAUCCAUGUUUGUACACAGCUUGAUAUUAUUCAAACUAAAAAAAUAUUCAAUUGUGUAUGUUUAUUAUGUUGUAUUUUUAAGUAAUUUAUGAUUGAUUUAUGUAUUGCAUUAGUUGUAAAAGCAAUUUGAUGGUUGUAUUUAUCUCUAGUCAGAUAUAUAAAACUCCUAAAAGCAAUUUGGUGGUUGUAUUUAUCUUUAGUCAGAUAUAUAAAACUCCUAAAAGCAAUUUGGUGGUGUAAGGAUUACCUAAUUUUUUUUUUAUAAAACUAUAAAGUUAUAUACGGAUAU